ACGUAGGGGGCAAGCGUUAUCCGGAAUUAUUGGGCGUAAAGAGUACGUAGGUGGUUACCUAAGCACGAGGUAUAAGGCAAUGGCUCAACCAUUGUUCGCCUUGUGAACUGGGCUACUUGAGUGCAGGAGAGGAAAGCGGAAUUCCUAGUGUAGCGGUGAAAUGCGUAGAUAUUAGGAGGAACACCAGUGGCGAAGGCGGCUUUCUGGACUGUAACUGACACUGAGGUACGAAAGCGUGGGGAGCAAACAG
rnacentral:rRNA from 1 species